GUUGAUUCACCAGAUUCAAACUGGAAUCCUUAUGAUGAAACUGUGAAUGAUAAUUUGUUUGAUGAAUUGUUUAAUUCAAGUGACGAUGACUCAAGUCAUUUUGAAGGAUUUUAAAUACAUAUUUACUAUUAAAUACAAUUUUUUUUAUUUAACUUAAAGUGAUAAAUAAAGAUUUCAUACCAUAAAUCUUUUUGAACAAUACCCCGGUAAAUACAAAACUGUCAGAGUGAACGCAUCCUUCCCAAUUACUGUACUACAAAUGGCUACGCAAUGUUUACACUUGCUGUGCAAUUGGGGUUUCUUCAAGUUACUUUGAUUUUUUUCAUUUAAUUUAAGAUUACCGGACUUUGGCACCGAUAACUGGUUAAUGGCACCUCUGAUGGGUAUGUAUCGGCACCAAUACUUUAUUAUCAGCACUGAAAACCGAUGAUCGCCGCACUUCAGCUAGACAAGCGCAGUAAAACCGGAACGCCAAUAACCAAGGCUGCCAAUAACCAGGGACUGCCAGUAUGUACAUAUGUACAGGAUGUGGAACCCAACGGACAUCAGAUUUAACAGACAAAAUCCAGCCAAGGUUUCAUUGAUGCCACAAACCCCC